rnacentral:rRNA from 1 species
CCUACGGGGGGCUGCAGUGAGGAAUAUUGGUCAAUGGGCGCGAGCCUGAACCAGCCAAGUAGCGUGAAGGAUGACUGCCCUACGGGUUGUAAACUUCUUUUAUAAAGGAGUAAAGUGAGGUACGUGUGCCUUUUUGUAUGUACUUUAUGAAUAAGGAUCGGCUAACUCAGCGCCAGCAGCCGCGGUAAUACGGAGGGUCCGAGCGUUAUCCGGGUUUAUUGGGUGUAAAGGGAGCGUAGAUGGGUUGUUAAGUCAGUUGUGAAAGUUUGGGGCUCAACCGGAGAAUUGCAAUUGAUACUGGCAGUCUUGAGUACAGUAGAGGUAGGCGGAAUUCGUGGUGUAGCGGUGAAAUGCUUAGAUAUCACGAAGAACUCCGAUUGCGAAGGCAGCUUACUAAACUGCCACUGACAUUGAGGCUCGAAAGUGUGGGGAUCAAACAGGAUUAGAUACCCUAGUAGUC